rnacentral:rRNA from 1 species
GGUUAAGCGACUAAGCGUACACGGUGGAUGCCCUGGCAGUCAGAGGCGAUGAAGGACGUGCUAAUCUGCGAUAAGCGUCGGUAAGGUGAUAUGAACCGUUAUAACCGGCGAUUUCCGAAUGGGGAAACCCAGUGUGUUUCGACACACUAUCAUUAACUGAAUCCAUAGGUUAAUGAGGCGAACCGGGGGAACUGAAACAUCUAAGUACCCCGAGGAAAAGAAAUCAACCGAGAUUCCCCCAGUAGCGGCGAGCGAACGGGGAGCAGCCCAGAGCCUGAAUCAGUGUGUGUGUUAGUGGAAGCGUCUGGAAAGGCGCGCGAUACAGGGUGACAGCCCCGUACACAAAAAUGCACAUGCUGUGAGCUCGAUGAGUAGGGCGGGACACGUGGUAUCCUGUCUGAAUAUGGGGGGACCAUCCUCCAAGGCUAAAUACUCCUGACUGACCGAUAGUGAACCAGUACCGUGAGGGAAAGGCGAAAAGAACCCCGGCGAGGGGAGUGAAAAAGAACCUGAAACCGUGUACGUACAAGCAGUGGGAGCACAGAGCAAUCUGUGUGACUGCGUACCUUUUGUAUAAUGGGUCAGCGACUUAUAUUCUGUAGCAAGGUUAACCGAAUAGGGGAGCCGAAGGGAAACCGAGUCUUAACUGGGCGUUAAGUUGCAGGGUAUAGACCCGAAACCCGGUGAUCUAGCCAUGGGCAGGUUGAAGGUUGGGUAACACUAACUGGAGGACCGAACCGACUAAUGUUGAAAAAUUAGCGGAUGACUUGUGGCUGGGGGUGAAAGGCCAAUCAAACCGGGAGAUAGCUGGUUCUCCCCGAAAGCUAUUUAGGUAGCGCCUCGUGAAUUCAUCUCCGGGGGUAGAGCACUGUUUCGGCAAGGGGGUCAUCCCGACUUACCAACCCGAUGCAAACUGCGAAUACCGGAGAAUGUUAUCACGGGAGACACACGGCGGGUGCUAACGUCCGUCGUGAAGAGGGAAACAACCCAGACCGCCAGCUAAGGUCCCAAAGUCAUGGUUAAGUGGGAAACGAUGUGGGAAGGCCCAGACAGCCAGGAUGUUGGCUUAGAAGCAGCCAUCAUUUAAAGAAAGCGUAAUAGCUCACUGGUCGAGUCGGCCUGCGCGGAAGAUGUAACGGGGCUAAACCAUGCACCGAAGCUGCGGCAGCGACGCUUAUGCGUUGUUGGGUAGGGGAGCGUUCUGUAAGCCUGCGAAGGUGUGCUGUGAGGCAUGCUGGAGGUAUCAGAAGUGCGAAUGCUGACAUAAGUAACGAUAAAGCGGGUGAAAAGCCCGCUCGCCGGAAGACCAAGGGUUCCUGUCCAACGUUAAUCGGGGCAGGGUGAGUCGACCCCUAAGGCGAGGCCGAAAGGCGUAGUCGAUGGGAAACAGGUUAAUAUUCCUGUACUUGGUGUUACUGCGAAGGGGGGACGGAGAAGGCUAUGUUGGCCGGGCGACGGUUGUCCCGGUUUAAGCGUGUAGGCUGGUUUUCCAGGCAAAUCCGGAAAAUCAAGGCUGAGGCGUGAUGACGAGGCACUACGGUGCUGAAGCAACAAAUGCCCUGCUUCCAGGAAAAGCCUCUAAGCAUCAGGUAACAUCAAAUCGUACCCCAAACCGACACAGGUGGUCAGGUAGAGAAUACCAAGGCGCUUGAGAGAACUCGGGUGAAGGAACUAGGCAAAAUGGUGCCGUAACUUCGGGAGAAGGCACGCUGAUAUGUAGGUGAAGUCCCUCGCGGAUGGAGCUGAAAUCAGUCGAAGAUACCAGCUGGCUGCAACUGUUUAUUAAAAACACAGCACUGUGCAAACACGAAAGUGGACGUAUACGGUGUGACGCCUGCCCGGUGCCGGAAGGUUAAUUGAUGGGGUUAGCGCAAGCGAAGCUCUUGAUCGAAGCCCCGGUAAACGGCGGCCGUAACUAUAACGGUCCUAAGGUAGCGAAAUUCCUUGUCGGGUAAGUUCCGACCUGCACGAAUGGCGUAAUGAUGGCCAGGCUGUCUCCACCCGAGACUCAGUGAAAUUGAACUCGCUGUGAAGAUGCAGUGUACCCGCGGCAAGACGGAAAGACCCCGUGAACCUUUACUAUAGCUUGACACUGAACAUUGAGCCUUGAUGUGUAGGAUAGGUGGGAGGCUUUGAAGUGUGGACGCCAGUCUGCAUGGAGCCGACCUUGAAAUACCACCCUUUAAUGUUUGAUGUUCUAACGUUGACCCGUAAUCCGGGUUGCGGACAGUGUCUGGUGGGUAGUUUGACUGGGGCGGUCUCCUCCUAAAGAGUAACGGAGGAGCACGAAGGUUGGCUAAUCCUGGUCGGACAUCAGGAGGUUAGUGCAAUGGCAUAAGCCAGCUUGACUGCGAGCGUGACGGCGCGAGCAGGUGCGAAAGCAGGUCAUAGUGAUCCGGUGGUUCUGAAUGGAAGGGCCAUCGCUCAACGGAUAAAAGGUACUCCGGGGAUAACAGGCUGAUACCGCCCAAGAGUUCAUAUCGACGGCGGUGUUUGGCACCUCGAUGUCGGCUCAUCACAUCCUGGGGCUGAAGUAGGUCCCAAGGGUAUGGCUGUUCGCCAUUUAAAGUGGUACGCGAGCUGGGUUUAGAACGUCGUGAGACAGUUCGGUCCCUAUCUGCCGUGGGCGCUGGAGAACUGAGGGGGGCUGCUCCUAGUACGAGAGGACCGGAGUGGACGCAUCACUGGUGUUCGGGUUGUCAUGCCAAUGGCACUGCCCGGUAGCUAAAUGCGGAAGAGAUAAGUGCUGAAAGCAUCUAAGCACGAAACUUGCCCCGAGAUGAGUUCUCCCUGACUCCUUGAGAGUCCUGAAGGAACGUUGAAGACGACGACGUUGAUAGGCCGGGUGUGUAAGCGCAGCGAUGCGUUGAGCUAACCGGUACUAAUGAACCGUGAGGCUUAACCUU